GCCCCGAUCUUAUAGGUGGUUAGUAAAUCAGUCUCAUAAUCUGGCAACCUCAGUUCGAGUCUGAGUCGGGGCA
rnacentral:tRNA from 1 species